UACGGAGGGUGCAAGCGUUAUCCGGAUUCACUGGGUUUAAAGGGUGCGUAGGUGGGUUGGUAAGUCAGUGGUGAAAUCUCCAGGCUUAACUUGGAAACUGCCAUUGAUACUAUUAGUCUUGAAUACCGUGGAGGUCAGCGGAAUAUGUCAUGUAGCGGUGAAAUGCUUAGAUAUGACAUAGAACACCAAUUGCGAAGGCAGCUGGCUACACGAGCAUUGACACUCAGGCACGAAAGCGUGGGGAUCAAACAGG
rnacentral:rRNA from 1 species